GAAUGAAGAACGUAGCGAAAUGCGAUAAGUAAUGUGAAUUGCAGAAUUCAGUGAAUCAUCGAAUCUUUGAACGCACAUUGCGCCUCCUGGCAUUCCAGGGGGCAUGCCUGUUCGAGCGUCAUUUAGUAGCCAUCGAGCGAGUUUGCCUCGCUUGGGUCUGGGGGAUGGAUGCGCCUCGGUGCUCCCACCCCCGAAAUACAACGGCGGACAACCCCACCCUUGGAACUGCAGCGUAGUAAGUCAUUGUUUCGCGAGCGGCCAAGGAGGGACUAUCCAGCCCGUCAAACCCCCAAAUCCAACGGUUGACCUCGGAUCAGGUAGGGAUACCCGCUGAACUUAAGCAUAUCAAUAAGCGGAGGA
rnacentral:misc_RNA from 1 species